GACAGAGGGUGCAAACGUUGUUCGGAAUUACUGGGCGUAAAGCGUGCGUAGGCGGUUUGUUAAGUCUGUCGUGAAAGCCCCGGGCUCAACCUGGGAAUGGCGAUGGAAACUGGCGAGCUAGAGUACGGUAGAGGAGAGUGGAAUUCCUGGUGUAGCGGUGGAAUGCGCAGAUAUCAGGAGGAACACCAAUAGCGAAGGCAGCUCGCUGGGACGUUACUGACACUGAGGCGCGAAAGCGUGGGGAGCGAACAGG
rnacentral:rRNA from 1 species